CUCAUUUUCUAACCCCAGAAAGAAGCUUUCGGGGGGAGAAAUCCAACUGGGGGUCAUACUCUGGAGAGGAGAUGCAGAGGAAACGUGACAGAAAGUUCAGCAAGACCAGAGACCACUUCAUUGAACAAGAAAAGCGAAGCAGAAUUAGCUCAGAAAGAAGUGUUGGAAGGCAUGAGGUGUGGUCUUGGAAAACAGCCAGCAAGGAAUCCCUGUGUCUCAUGUGGCAAAAAGUGAAAGUGCAGCUAAUGUUAAGCAUGUCCUUCCUCACUGCUCUUUUUUGGUAUUGUAGAAGGCUAUACGGCUUUUUAGCACAGCUGCUGAAACGGUGGAGCAACUAUCUUCAGAGGCAACUCAUAAGGAAUCUCAGUGUGCUGCCAGAAGUUGAUCUUCUUGGUUAUAGUGCGAGAGAAUGGAAAGGAGAAACAAAGCAGGCCAAACAGAUGAGGGAGGCAUAUGAAGAAUUGUUUAGGAGCUGUCAUAUCAAAUACCUGAGACAAGUCAGGAGGGACAACUAUAGUGUAAUAAGAGCGGUGCUUUUUCAGAUAUUCAGCCAAGGCAUUCAUUUUCCUUUGUGGAUGAAGGAAAGAGAUAUAUUGAAGCUCCCUGAAAAGCUUUUGUAUUCUCAAGGCUGUAACUGGAUUCAGCAAUACAGUUUUGGGCCAGAAAGAUACUCGGGUCCCAAUACCUUUGGGAAGUUGCGCAAAUGUAUGGAGGCGUUAAAGACAAAUUGGGCUGAAAUAAGUGCUACAAGAGAUCAUGAAGAAAGAGGAAGUAUGUGCAAUAUACUGUUUUCUGAUGAAAGUAAGGAAUGUAAACUGUAUGAGGCCAUAAAAUUCAUCAUGCUCUAUGAAGUUGUCGAAGCCUAUGAGCAGAUGAAGAGCAGGGACGAACCCGUACACAAUCUUUUUGGCCUUCUCUUUGCUCGUGACUCUUCGUCUGACCCUCUGAGUUUCAUGAUGAAUCAUCUGAACUCCAUAGGUGACGCUAUUUGCCUAGACCAGGUUGAACUGUUUCUUCUUGGAUACUUACUUGAAGUAAAGAUACGAGUUUACAGACUGCAUAGGUUUAAUACUGAAGAAUUUCAAGUAACCUAUCCAAAUGAAUACCGAAGGGAAUGGAAUGAGAUUUCUCUCCUGACUGAGGAUGAUCGCUACUAUCACAUCCCGCUUUUCAGAACGUGAAACACCAGUGACUUUUUUUUCCCUUUGUAUAGUACAGUGAGUGACCAAUUCCAGUGAAUUAGGUUUCAAAUCAGCAGCACUAAAAUCUUGAGAAUGCUCAUUAAUGAUUACAAAAUUAUUUAUGGGUUUAUUGUGUAAACAUUUUGCUUUCCCAUUGCAGCUCAGUUCAUCAUCAGUCAGCCAUAAAAACCAUAAAAUAUUUUGCUAUACUAUCUGGGAGGGAAAAAAAGUGACAUUUUAGGGUUUUCAGACAAAAAUAAUUGGACUGCCUGACAAGAAAGGCAAAGGUUAUACUGGGUUUUCUAUUGCUAGCUUAAGGGUUUAACUCUGACAUCCAUGGAUGGGUUAAACUCAAGUUCCUAAAAUCAAUGACUGUCUUUCCCUACCCCUGUCUGUCUCUAGCUAGGGAGGAUGAAUCACAGAGGAUGGAAAUCCUGGGGUCUCACAGUUUAUAUUCCAUGCUAUUUAACUUGCAUUGACUUGGGAUGGGAGGAUAUAGACUGGGGCCUCUGCAUGGCUCCUUCAAAUCCAUUUGGCUUCCCUUGUUGCUGGAACACCUCUCUCCAGGGAUGGGCAGAGCAAGCAGCUGCAGGCUGUACUUAACUUCAGACAUGGGAAAUUGUGCUGUCUGCACACAGUGGUGGUCCCUGAAGAUGAAGAACUGUUACACAGGCGGAAAAAUUCAACACACAAGAAUACUGUGUCAGAUGAAUGGAAAAUCUCCUGUGUAAGGGAGGAAAGCACAUAGCUUUCUCCAAGGACAUGGAUUAGAACAGAACAAAAGUGUCUGAAGGAAGAGGCUCAGGAGGUAAGGGAUAAAAAUCAGUCCUGGAAUGAUUCUGAACCUCACACAGGAGAUACCUGGGAGCUCAAGCAAUGACCUAAGGGCAACAGGAGGUAUGGAAAAGACAUGGCUAGGAGAAGCAAGCAAAUUCAUGGAGGAAGACUUAGCAAGUCCACAGAUACUUUUUAGUCUGAACUGCUGGUCUAUGACUAGAGAUGUGAAAACUUCCCAGGAUACUAUCCACAGAAAGUGUACUUGCAGCUCUUCUUCCCUGCAACCAAAAACAUGACACGUGGAUAGCCCAUGACUACUGUAAUUGAAACAGCUCUCAGCUGCCCCUUCAAACUAGAGGACUUCACCACUUGUGAGGGUUCUCCAGAAGAGCAGAGGUGUUUCUUGUCUUUGCUGUAUUGAUGGCUUUCCUUAAGGUUACCUCUUGUUUGUUGGUUGGGUCCCCACAUUUGGCAUUUUCAGUGCUUCAGUUGCUGCUGUAGGAGGGAUGAUACAGCCAAGAAACACUUCAGCCACAUUGUUUAAGUUCUGAAGGAGACUGGAGUGAAGCCAUGUGCUUUUGUUACACGGGCUGUGAAAAGCCCAUCAGGAUCAAAUUGGACCAAAUCUCUGUCUUCAAGAUCCCCAGAGGUAUAUUCAGAAAAAUAUCUAACCCCCUCAUUUAACCUUUGCAGCUUAGCUUUGAGCACAAGAGCUUGAGAGUCCUCAACGACAGACAUCCAAUCCUCAACACAUUUUCUAAGUAAGGAGAAGAGCGGGAAUCAAACUUCAGGCUGAGCAAACCCAACAAGGUGAAUUUCUUCACAUCACAACGCAUAGUGUGAGCAUGACUCAGGAAGGCUGCAGGUAGAGAUACCUGAAACAGAGACAUUCCUUUGGGCUUCUCCCAAAGUCAUGGGAGAACAUAAAACUGUUCAGUAGCCACCAUGGGUGCUCUAUGCAGUUUAGUAGCACAAGGUAUCCAUGAGUGUUGGACAAAAGAUGUGAGCAGAUCAUGUUGGUUUGGAUUUUUCAAGAACCCAUGCAAACUAAACAAGAUUUUAGUUCUGUUCUGGGCAGCUCUGGAGGUUCUGCCUUUCUACACAGUUUUUUUUUAAUUACUUUGAAUUACUCAAAGGCAGGAAGAAAAAAAAAGGUACGAUAGUUCAAACUGUAGAAAUGUUACUACAAGCAUAUCUGUAAAAGGGAUGAAACAUUUUUUUCAUACUGUAAGAGUGGCUUAAUAGAUGCAAUUCUCAGCAACGCUAGUCAAAAAAUAUGGUUGCAAUAUUCGGUCCAGCAAGUGUAACUCACCUAGAGAUCCAGAGUAUACUGCACAGAAUAAGUAUGAUACACUUAGGAUCAAACUGGGGCUGUUUGAGUUACAGCUGCUCAGAGCCCAGCACUUUGGAAGUGCAAGAAGAGGGGAAGAAAGUAAGAUAUAUUAUUUAAAUAGAAAGAAAAGAGAACAUAAUUUGUGUGGAAAGCCACCAGCCUAUUUAUCUUACUGUCCUUUUCAAAAAAAAGACAUAAACCUGAACAAAAUUCCAGUACAAUUGAGUGCAUAAAAUACUGGUUUUGAUGAAGAGUUUAUUACAUAAAUUAGUAUCAGUCCACUGACUGUACCUUUGUGAGUCACAAAUGUGAACUAUUAAUAGAAAAAUGCAUGGAUAUUAACAGUGGUUUCAUGACAGGUAUAUUUUUGAAGCUGUUAAAUAAAAAGGAAUUAUAGCUGAAGAUAAUUUUAGUGCCCUAGAUGCAUGUAAUUUAGUAAUAAAGCAAAUGUCUCCUCUGAAAUGCUGCCAGCAAUUAGAAAUUCCCAGUUUCUUGCCAAGCAUUAAAACCUGCAGCCUUUGAGUGGAAUCCCUUCUCCUCCUGCAUUUCUGAUUUCAGUCAAGACUAUAGAGUCGACCCUUUAAGUUUUUUUUUCUUUAACAGUUUUUGGGGAAACUGAGGGGGAAACUUUUAGGGUAUUGUCUAUAUCCAUACUUUUAAAAGCAUAUCACUUUUAUCAGCUGUCUGGCUACUUCUACCUGUCAGGGAAUCCUGAUACACCUUUUUCUGUUUGACUAAAAGGCCAGACAGCAUGUAUUAAUUUUCCUAACAGAACAUGAUCAAAUCACCCUUAACUUUUUCCUGGGUAAACUGAACAGAUACCACUCACUCAUUUAAGCUUCAUCUUCAGUCUUCUAAUUUCUCCCAUAAUGUGAUUAUCAAUUCCUCCUUGUAUUACAGAUAUUAGCACAAGGCUUAGCAUUUGCUUCAGUCUUGCAAGAGCACAUUGUAAAGAGAAAAUUAAAAAAAAAAAUUCACUUCUGCCUGGCAUUACUUUGUCUUGACACCCAAAAAUUGCAACAAGAUCUAUCUGUUUAUUCUCAAAAGUUCUGGCUUUUAGCUGAAAUGUAAAUGAGCAUUUUCCACACUCCAAGGCAAAAUCUAUCUCUAAGAGGCAAGGUUGGUCUGAGAUGCAGAAGACAUUUCACAGGCAGUGUUGUCAGUCAGUAAGAUGGGUAGGGGAGCACCAAAAACUGACAGUAUUUUAGGUCUGGGAUACCCCAAAGCCUUUGGCCAUUUCUCUGUGUACAUCUGGCUGCAAACCAUCAGGGACUAUGGCUGUUCUUGAGCCUGACAGCAGCACAUAUGCACCCACCUUAUGUAUUUGGUAUGUUUUGUAUCUCCAGAUGAUUUGUGUUACCAUAGGACCUUCCAUGUAAAUACCUGCAGAAACUUGGACUGGGUAAAUUAAGGUCAUCUAAUGAAAACCAUAUGUGCAUGUUCUUGAUGUAAUAGCACAAAUCAGGACUAUAAAUGUUGUUUAGCUUAUUCUAUGAUCUGAGCAAGGAGAUCACAGAUUAGGUUUGGAUCUAGGUUUUUAUGAUUGAUUGAUUCCAAUAAAGAUAAACCUUAGAAAAGAUAUCUGACACUGGUAGUCAAAAAAGAAAUACCUGAAAAUUCAGAGAGACAAAUGAAUAAUCCAGAGGGGAAAAAAAACAAAACAACAUCAAAACUAAACACACACAAAAUAGCCCCAAAACCCCAGAGAAAGAACCCCAAACCAAUGAACAUCAGAAGAAUAAUGCAAAAAACAACAGUUUAAUUACUUGUUGCUAAAACAGAUGACUAGUUUUCCCAAAGGCAAACAGAAAUAGAAGCCCACUAUUACUUUACCACUCAUCCUAGGCAUAAAAAAUGUGCCAUAAUGACAGAUAGAAAGGAUUUGCUCCAAUGUUACAGAAUUACCAGCAUUUUUUGUGUCUUUGCACUCCCUACACUUCAAAUACUGCAGGCUCCUAGAUGCUACACUGUUCAGGCUCAGUCUGGUGAAUAAUUCUCAAGUUCCAAGUAGACUCCUUACCUGGAAGAUUUAAGAAAGUAAUAAAAAUCUUUAAAUUGGAGAAACUUCUCAGGAAGCAUAGAGAUCAAAAAGUUUUCCAAGUCUUUGUACAAGACCCUGCAAGCAUUGUUCCAGAGGAAUUUGUCAGUACUGAACCCUGUAGCUGUGAGGUGAGGAUAGCGCUGUGAGCUGGUGUUCAGCAAGAAGCAGGUGGUUAAGACCUAAGAAUAGAUGAUCAGAUAAGAGCAUCCGAGUCUGGCAGCUCCAAAUGUUUGCAGAUGAUGGCAGUAAACAAAUGGCAGAAAUAUCCUGAAGCUUCUUCCUUUCAUAAAGUUACUCUAUCCGAACAGGCUUUGGACAUUUGUUUCAGGAGGUUCUAGAAAUAUCAGCUGCAUGUAGCAAUGAAGAUUUUGUCUAUAGAAAUUGUCCACACAUUUAUUCACACGAUGUACAAAUACCCAAAGUGAAGACCUCCUGGAA